CGGGUGAGUAAUACAUCGGAACGUGUCUUCUAGUGGGGGAUAACUGCCCGAAAGGGCAGCUAAUACCGCAUGAGACCUGAGGGUGAAAGCGGGGGAUCGCAAGACCUCGCGCUGGAAGAGCGGCCGAUGUCCGAUUAGCUAGUUGGUGAGGUAAAGGCUCACCAAGGCGACGAUCGGUAGCUGGUCUGAGAGGACGACCAGCCACACUGGGACUGAGACGCGGCCCAG
rnacentral:rRNA from 1 species